rnacentral:rRNA from 1 species
CCUACGGGUGGCAGCAGUGGGGAAUAUUGGACAAUGGGCGAAAGCCUGAUCCAGCCAUGCCGCGUGUGUGAAGAAGGCCUUCGGGUUGUAAAGCACUUUCAGUGGGGAAGAAAGCCUUGGGGCUAAUACCCUCGAGGAAGGACAUCACCCACAGAAGAAGCACCGGCUAACUCCGUGCCAGCAGCCGCGGUAAUACGGAGGGUGCGAGCGUUAAUCGGAAUUACUGGGCGUAAAGCGCGCGUAGGCGGUCUGAUAAGCCGGUUGUGAAAGCCCCGGGCUCAACCUGGGAACGGCAUCCGGAACUGUCAGGCUAGAGUGCAGGAGAGGAAGGUAGAAUUCCCGGUGUAGCGGUGAAAUGCGUAGAGCUCGGGAGGAAUACCAGUGGCGAAGGCGGCCUUCUGGACUGACACUGACGCUGAGGUGCGAAAGCGUGGGUAGCAAACAGGAUUAGAUACCCGUGUAGUC